UAAUAAUAAUAAUAAUAAUAGACAGAUAUUUAAUAAAAUUUCAAAGUCCAAUUUUCCUCGUUCCUUGACGAUAAUAAUCUAGUCGGUUAUAAAAUUGUAACUUCGCGAAUAACUUCGUACGAUCGUAUAAAAAUUUAUAUAGAGAUCAUUUAGACGUCGUAUAAGGGAGAAUUAAAAGAACAUGGAUGAAAAACUUUUGUGAUCCGCUUGUUAAGAUGUUUCAAAACAAUUCGACGAAACGUGAAAUUACGCGAAAUCUUUAUAUUUAUAUGCGUGAAAACUUUUUUAAAAAAUCUGUGAAAUUUUAAUCGACGAUUUUAUUGAUCGAUCACGUUUUUGUUUCUGCUUUAUUAAAAUCUCUUUGAAUACGUGUUCAUCGUUCUGUGAAGAAUUUUUUUUGGUUGAUCUUUCGUUGAGCUUCCUCUCGAGCAUUCUUCGUUACAGAGACGUAAAGAUAAUUAAAAUUAAAUCUGUCAUACAUUGCGUGAUACAAGAUUAAGAAAAAGUUGAAAAAGAUCAAAGAAUCAGCUCACACUACCAAUUACCAUUGUGAUGUUCCACGAGUGAAUUUAGUUUAUGGAAAGGUGUGGCAAAUGCCUGGUUAGAAGUUUUAAAAGAUUAAUUUGGGAUGGCUGAUUUCGAAUGAUUGAUCUCGAACGAUUCUUUUCCAAGAAUGACGUCCAAGGAAAAUUGGAAAGAAUCGAAAAAUUGUCGGUUUUGAUUUUUACCUUUUUCUCGUUUGGCAAACGACCAAUGUAGAGGAAAUAACGCUGUCCCUCUUCUCUCACAUCUUUUGCAGAGAAUUGGAAAUCGAAAGGAUGAAAUGUAUGGAUAGAUGUGGAAGAAAUUUGAAUCGAAAUAACAUGUAGAUAAGAUUCGAUUUUUUAAUCUUAAUUAUUUUAUCGAAAAUAUCGAUAAGAUGAAAAAUUCGUUUCGCAAAAUUAUAUCCAAGAGAUCGAAAUAUUACAAUCAAUUGGGUCGAGCCAAAUACUCUAUGGGUGCUUUCCAGAAUUAAUUUAUAACGAUAUACCAUUCCAUAAAUUGUAUUAUACAGUAUUCGAUGGUUUGUAUUUAGGUUACUUGGCAUACGAGCCAACCACUGUUACUAGACCAUCGUAAAACUCUCUUAAUUAUCGAAAUAUUUUCUUUAUUAUUCAUCGAAUAUAUUUUUAUCAUAUCGAAAGAUUUUUCCAAUUUUCGUAAAAAAAAAAAAAAUGUUUAAAGAUUCCUGAAGGAUAUAGUUCUCCAUUCGAUCUUCUUCGAAGAUAGAAUAUUCUCUUCUCUCUAAAACGAUGCAAUAAAACGAUCUCGACGAAUUGGAUUUACGGUUUUAAAUACACUAUUACACAGUUUCCAAGAUGCCACUAUUUUACAUGUAUCGUAAUUGAAUUUGGUUAAACGUGUUCCAGGAAUUUAUCGUGAAUUUUAUCGUAGAUCUACGAGGUGUCCCCGGAUUAUACGAUCGAAAUGCAGCAAUAUAAGUUCCAAGCAAGUAUAAAAAUAAGAGAAAAAACAGCAAACAGUUUAUCCAUUUUCUUCAAAGAUGGCGUUCCUCGAAUGAAAUACGUACGCUUCUACAGAAAUUUGUAGAAUUUAUCACUCUUCUUUCCAAUGAAUGCAUUAUUAAUCCCUUCUUUUAUAAAGUAUUUACAUAGAUUUCUAAUCAUAUAUAGAGUUUCUAAUCGUUUAAAUAUCAAUCACGAGGGAAAUUAAUUUUAAAAAGAAACGUAAGAUUUAAAUUAAAAUUUUGGAAAUGAAUUCGAUCAGGAAAAAUUUUCAAAUAUAUUCUUUCCACGUAUUCCAUCCAAUACACAAAGAAA